AUGCCGAAAUUCUUUUUAUCCAAAGGAAGCAGAGUAACCAUUUUCCUGGAAAAGGGAUUCUCUGAGGUAAGGCUCCCGAAAUUUAGGGAAAGGCAUACUUAUGGAUGUAGACAAAAGGGAACAGAGGCACCAAUGGGCCCAAGGAAACAACUAACAGAGUUGAAGUCCCUGUCAUUUAAGUGCAAGCAAGCGCCUAAUGGUAACUGGGGAGCCUCUACUAAG
rnacentral:lncRNA from 12 species